rnacentral:rRNA from 1 species
GACAAACGCUGGCGGCGUGCUUAACACAUGCAAGUCGAACGAUGAACUUGGAGCUUGCUCUGGGGGAUUAGUGGCGAACGGGUGAGUAACACGUGAGUAACCUGCCCUGGACUCUGGGAUAACUUCGAGAAAUCGGAGCUAAUACCGGAUAGGACCUUGCACCGCAUGGUGUGGGGUGGAAAGUUUUUCGGUUUGGGAUGGACUCGCGGCCUAUCAGCUUGUUGGUGAGGUAAUGGCUCACCAAGGCGUCGACGGGUAGCCGGCCUGAGAGGGUGACCGGCCACACUGGGACUGGGACACGGCCCAGACUCCUACGGGAGGCAGCAGUGGGGAAUAUUGCACAAUGGGCGCAAGCCUGAUGCAGCAACGCCGCGUGCGGGAUGACGGCCUUCGGGUUGUAAACCGCUUUUAGUAGGGAAGAAGCCUUCGGGUGACGGUACCUGCAGAAAAAGGACCGGCUAACUACGUGCCAGCAGCCGCGGUAAAAC